GCAUGGAAUAAUAAAAAUAGGCGUGCGUUUCUAAUUUUGUUGGUUCUAGAGACGCCGCAAUGAUUAACAGAACAGUCGGGGGCAUCAGUAUUCAGUGUCAGAGGUGAAAUUCUUGGAUCUACUGAAGACUAACUACUGCGAAAGCAUUUGCCAAGGAUGUUUUCAUUAAUCAGUGAACGAAAGUUAGGGGAUCGAAGACGAUCAGAUACCGUCGUAGUCUUAACCGUAAACUAUGCCGACUAGGGAUCGGGCGAUGUUCUUUUUCUGACUCGCUCGGCACCUUACGAGAAAUCAAAGUUUUUGGGUUCUGGGGGGAUUAUGGUCGCAAGGCUGAAACUUAAAGAAAUUGACGGAAGGUCACCACCAGGCGUGGAGCCUGCGGCUUAAUUUGACUCAACACGGGGAAACUCACCAGGUUCAGAUGAAAUAAGGAUUGACUGAUUGAGAGCUCUUUCUUGAUUUUUCAGGUGGUGGUGCAUGGCCGUUCUUAGUUCGUGGGGUGACUUGUCUGCUUAAUUGCGAUAACGAGCGAGACCUUACUCUGCUAAAUAGCCAGGCUAGCUUUGGCUGGUCGCCGGCUUCUUAGAGAGACUAUCAACUCAAGUUGAUGGAAGUUUGAGGCAAUAACAGGUCUGUGAUGCCCUUAGAUAUUCUGGGCCGCACGCGCGCUACACUGACAGAGCCAACGAGUUCUUUCCCUUGGCCGAAAGGUCUGGGUAAUCUUGUUAAACUCUGUCGUGCUGGGGAUAAAGCAUUGCAAUUAUUGCUUUUCAACGAGGAAUGCCUAGUAAGCGCGUGUCAUCAGCAUGCGUUGAUUACGUCCCUGACCUUUGCACACACCGCCCGUC
rnacentral:rRNA from 1 species